GCAGAUUUUUAUCAUGUGUGUUUUAGAUGAUCCCAUAAUCUGCUUCCCCCAAUAUUCUGUAUUUUUUUUUCAGGUUUUGAUGCCAGCUAGAUCUUAAAAAUCUGUUCCAAAGCAGAUUUUUGUUAGAAAUUUGUAUUAUGUUUUUCUUUCCUUUAGUCUUAGCCUUAGUCUUGAAUACUGUUCCAACGAUACAAGGAGUCUUGUGCCCAUAGUAGAUUAGGAUGAGACUACUCCAGAAUAAGCCAAGUCCAGUCCAGAACAGCUAUGCAUUUUUUCCUGUACAGUCCAGAAUUCUUAGACAAAGUAAUAGUUUAUAACUGCAAUCCAUUUCUAUCAAAAUGCAGUUGAAUGUUAGACACUUUUUACCUUUUGUAUUCAUGAUUGCAAUUACUGCUAUGAAUUUUUUUUGUCCGUUACCCAAUUAGUUGCGGUAGGUGGGGUU
rnacentral:lncRNA from 1 species